GGGACAACAGUUGGAAACGACUGCUAAUACCGCAUAAUGUAUUCGGAAGGCAUCUUCUGAAUACCAAAGGAGAAAUCCGCUGAGGGAUGGGCUCACGUCUGAUUAGUUAGUUGGUGAGGUAACGGCUCACCAAGACUGCGAUCAGUAGCCGGACUGAGAGGUUGAACGGCCACAUUGGGACUGAGAUACGGCCCAGACUCCUACGGGAGGCAGCAGUGGGGAAUAUUGGGCAAUGGGCGAAAGCCUGACCCAGCAACGCCGCGUGAAGGAAGAAGGCCUUCGGGUUGUAAACUUCUUUUAAGAGGGACGAAGAAGUGACGGUACCUCUUGAAUAAGCCACGGCUAACUACGUGCCAGCAGCCGCGGUAAUACGUAGGUGGCGAGCGUUAUCCGGAUUUACUGGGUGUAAAGGGCGCGUAGGCGGGAAUGCAAGUCAGAUGUGAAAUCCAGGGGCUUAACCCUUGAACUGCAUUUGAAACUGUAUUUCUUGAGUGUCGGAGAGGUUGACGGAAUUCCUAGUGUAGCGGUGAAAUGCGUAGAUAUUAGGAGGAACACCAGUGGCGAAGGCGGUCAACUGGACGAUAACUGACGCUGAGGCGCGAAAGCGUGGGGAGCAAACAGGAUUAGAUACCCUGGUAGUCCACGCCGUAA
rnacentral:rRNA from 1 species